UACGUAGGGUGCAAGCGUUAUCCGGAAUUAUUGGGCGUAAAGAGCUCGUAGGCGGUUUGUCGCGUCUGCUGUGAAAACUGGGGGCUCAACCCCCCAGCCUGCAGUGGGUAUGGGCAGACUAGAGUGCGGUAGGGGAGAUUGGAAUUCCUGGUGUAGCGGUGGAAUGCGCAGAUAUCAGGAGGAACACCGAUGGCGAAGGCAGAUCUCUGGGCCGUAACUGACGCUGAGGAGCGAAAGCAUGGGGAGCGAACAGG
rnacentral:rRNA from 1 species